rnacentral:tRNA from 1 species
GCCUGGGUGGCUCAGUUGGUUAAGCAUCUGACUUCAGCUCAGGUCAUGAUCUCACAGUUGGUGGGUUCGAGCCCCGCAUUAGGCU